UUGUAUUUUCUUAUGAUAGUCUUCUGCUUGCCAAAUUACUGUAUCACAUCAUCUUCCUUUCAAUCUCAUUAAAUACCCAUAAUAGCCAAUGAAUGUCCAUAACCAUUUUCCUUCUAUGGCCAUAAAUUUGUAUUGAUUCCAUUCCAUUCUCGGUCAAUGAGUUUAACAGUUUGAUUGCUGUCAUUACCUCAAUUAAUGAUUAAUUAU
rnacentral:lncRNA from 1 species